GAAAGACCCCGUGGACCUUUACUGUAGGCUUUUAUUGGUCACGAGCAUGUACUGCGUAGGAUAGGUGGGAGGCUUUGAAGCCUGGGUUCUGGCCCAGGUGGAGCCAUUGGUGAAAUACCACCCUGUUCACGUUUGUGUCCUAACCCCGAUUCCCAUGAAGCUGGGCGGGGGACAGUGAGUGCCGGGCAGUUUGGCUGGGGCGGUCUCCUCCCAAAGAG
rnacentral:rRNA from 1 species